rnacentral:lncRNA from 1 species
GGCUACAUGUACAGAUAAAAACCUAAAAUAUGUCAUAUACGCUAUUUGGCUGAUGUAGUUGCUGGCGGACAGCUGGAAAAGGAAACUGACAUCAAAAUAUACCUUAGAAGACUUUACUGCUGCAGAAAACAAUGUCCAAAGCCAGGAGGCCGAGACUGGAGAAGAGUCAGAAGCAGGAGACGUUCGCUUCGAGUUCGAGCCCCAAACCUACAGAGGUCGUGCCCAGUGAACUCUCAUGGAGUCCAGAGUUCAUCCGGGAGCUUCUUCCGUCUGCGGAGCGAACAGCUCUUUUCUAUCAUCUCUCUUACCUGUGUUUGGGAAACUUCCCAAAGCUGGAGCGUCUGAUCAGAGAACGAGCUCUGGACACACAACUGCUGUUUGGAUCCUCUGAAGCUGUUCUGUUGAAGUGUGUUGGCACAAGUUCCAACCUGGUCUCCUCCCUGUUCCCCAUGCUGAUGACGGCGGUUGAGAAGAACAAACCCGUUCUGGCUGUGAGGUACCUGGAGAAAGCCAGAACAUGGAUCAGUGACAUCAUUAGAUCUGUGGAUGACAUGGUGAAGAGGUAUGAUCAACAAAACCGAAGUGUGGCGACGUGCACCAGUGAUGUGAUUCAAGAGCAGAAAGAGACCGAAGGAAAAAUAACGAGCAACACUAAGGAGAUGGAGAGUCUGAAGGAGGCCGUGGACAAGCUUGAAAAGGAGCUGAGGAAACACAACAGAAAUAUGGAGGAAUUAGAGAGAAAAAUUGAAGACAAAAACCGCGAGCUACAGAAUCACAUCACAAAUUCCAGCAAAAACCGCUUCGGUAUCCUGAGGGCCUUGGUGCCAUUUUUUGCAUUCGUUCAAGAUAUGAUAACCACCCCUGCGAUCGCUGCUAAAACUCAAUCUCUCAACGCCGACCUGUCCUGUCUCAACUCGGAGAAGAGCAGUCUGCAAAGCAAACAGUGGAUGAUUCAAGUCAGACUAACUGAUCUUCAGCUGAAGUUGGCCACUUCCAAAAUACAGCUGGGUGUGAUUCCCAGUCCUGUCCACCUGGAGGACGUCCAGCAGUGUCUUUCUCGAAUCCAGCAGAUUCUGGUUCAGCUUCAGAAGUUCUGGGAGAAAGUAGAAACUCUGCUGGACACUCUGAAGGAGAAGACCUUUGUUAAUGAGUAUCUCAUUGAGGACCUGGAUGACAUGAAGGAGGAGUUUCUGACCUCCAUUGAAGCAGCAGGAAAGUGCUGGCAGAGAUUUGGUGAAUGCUGUCAGAGAGCACAAGGCAUCUUCAGUGUUCAGUCUAAGGAUGCAUACAAGUUCCUGGAGACGAAUCCUUCCUCACUUUCGACGGAUGAAUGGGAAAAGCAGCGCAAGUCUAUCAUGGAGAGACUGAAUGAGAUCAGCCCGCAGGGGUCGUCUAAAGUCGCCAUCACUGAGUGACACACAGAGAGACAUGAUUAAAGAAUUAACUAAUUCAUCACUUUUUACAAUGAGAUUUACUAAUGCAUAGAUUCUCUAAUAAUGUCUAAUGUAAUGUCUUUACUGUUCUUGAACUAGUUACAAUUCUUUGUGAAUUAUGUAAAAUCUGGUUAAAAUCACUCUGUGGUAUAUAAUGUAAGAUCCAUGUGGUCUGGCCACACUGCAGAAAAAGAAUGAAUUAAUAAACAAACAGACAAAUGGAAAAUGUACAGGUGAGCUAAUUUUCUGCCAGGACAUUAUCCUUCAAUUUGACGGACAUGUCUGUUCACCCUAAAACACAAGGCAAUGAAGUGCAAAAUUUAAAAUACAGGCAAAACACUGGUUAAUACAUUGCGCCUUAUUUUCAUGGAUUUGUUUGACAGUGUAUGUCACACAAUAAAGACUUGCAUUAUAGCGUAAUCAUGUAAAAAGAUUUGUCUGAUGAGUUUCACUGUAUUGGAAAUUACAAUCAAGGGUUUAAAAAAAUAAUUUGUCAU